rnacentral:rRNA from 1 species
GACGAACGCUGGCGGCGUGCUUAACACAUGCAAGUCGAACGGAAAGGCCCUGCUUUUGUGGGGUGCUCGAGUGGCGAACGGGUGAGUAACACGUGAGUAACCUGCCCUUGACUUUGGGAUAACUUCAGGAAACUGGGGCUAAUACCGGAUAGGAGCUCCUGCUGCAUGGUGGGGGUUGGAAAGUUUCGGCGGUUGGGGAUGGACUCGCGGCUUAUCAGCUUGUUGGUGGGGUAGUGGCUUACCAAGGCUUUGACGGGUAGCCGGCCUGAGAGGGUGACCGGCCACAUUGGGACUGAGAGACGGCCCAGACUGCAACGGGAGGCAGCAGGGGGGAAUAUUGCACAAUGGGCGGAAGCGUGAUGCAGCAACGCCGCGUGCGGGAUGACGGCCUUCGGGUUGUAAACCGCUUUCGCCUGUGACGAAGCGUGAGUGACGGUAAUGGGUAAAGAAGCACCGGCUAACUACGUG